GUGGUAAAUAAUAGUAAGCAAUAUGUAAGUUUCCAGUUGUAUAUUCUUACCAAAAGUAUUCUGAUCGAACUUCAAAGAUUGCCUUUGAAAUUUGUCAUUUCAAGAGCUUCCCACCAGGAGCAGAAGCCACGAACAAAAUAAUCGACAAGGAGAAUUGCACAGCACAGAGUUGUUGCCUUCUUGGAGUACCAGUGACACCAGCAUCUGAAAUAUAGAUUGAGAACAUGUCGGAACCUAACCCAUUUAUCACAGUAGUCACAGGGUCAUUCAACUACAAUGGUAGGGCCAGA
rnacentral:lncRNA from 13 species